rnacentral:rRNA from 1 species
GAUGAACGCUGGCGGCGUGCUUAACACAUGCAAGUCGAACGGAAAGGCCCAAGCUUGCUUGGGUACUCGAGUGGCGAACGGGUGAGUAACACGUGGGUGAUCUGCCCUGCACUUCGGGAGAAGCCUGGGAAACUGGGUCUAAUACCGGAUAGGACCACAUUUUGGAUGGGGUGGUGGAAAGUUUUUCGGUGUGGGAUGAGCUCGCGGCCUAUCAGCUUGUUGGUGGGGUAAUGGCCUACCAAGUCGUCGACGGGUAGCCGGCCUGAGAGGGUGUACGGCCACAUUGGGACUGCGAUACGGCCCAGAAUCCUACGGGAGGCAGCAGUGGGGAAUAUUGCACAAUGGGCGCAAGCCUGAUGCAGCGACGCCGCGUGGGGGAUGACGGCCUUCGGGUUGUAAACUCCUUUCGCUAGGGACGAAGCGUUAUGUGACGGUACCUGGAGAAGAAGCACCGGCUAACUACGU